AGUUUCCCCAGGCACUUGUAGCACUGAUAUUCAUGUCCGUAUCCCCAGGGAUUCCUAUCUCUAAUUGUAAGUAAUGUAUGAACCCAGUGCUUUUCUUAGUAAUGAUAUUACGUUUGAAAAGUAAUGUAACUGGGAAUAGGUAGUUGUUGGUUAAAAAAAAUAUCUUUAUAAUCGUGCCUACAGUCAUAUUUACAUGUUAACAUUGAGUGUUAUAUGGACUUUGUUGCUGCUAAAUAAGGUUUUUGUUUCUUUUUACUUUUAGUGGCCCAGUAUUUCAAGGAAUGGAGGGACAGAAAAGAGUGCAUUCAACAAACUCUACAACAGUCAGUUUUGUUUAAGUUUACACCCUUCAAUUGCCAUAUUCCAGUCAUGGAAUUCACCAGAGCAAGUGAACAAGAGGAGGAAGAAGAGCAACAGCAACAAUGAGGAAUCCCGCCGCCACCACUUUGUCAUCCCAAUCUCAUGCUGGAACUGGUCAUUCAAGCUUCACAGCAUGAACUCCAAACAAGAAAGAACACAUGGAAUCAACUUCUGGGCAUCUUCAUAAAGGGAGGUAUUGAUACUGCCUGCUAAGGAAGUGAAAAUAUAUGAGUUGUAUUCUUACUGCAUUCCUUAGAAACUCACCAGCAUUUUUAUAUUGUCCU
rnacentral:lncRNA from 1 species